GACGAACGCUGGCGGCGUGCUUAACACAUGCAAGUCGAACGGUGAAGGGACCGGUUUUUGCUGGUUCUGGAUGAGUGGCGAACGGGUGAGUAACACGUGAGUAACCUGCCCCCUUCUUCUGGAUAACCGCAUGAAAGUGUGGCUAAUACGGGAUAUUCUGCGCCUGUUGCAUGGUGGGUGUGGGAAAGAUAUUGUUUCGGUGGGGGAUGGGCUCGCGGCCUAUCAGCUUGUUGGUGGGGUGAUGGCCUACCAAGGCGGUGACGGGUAGCCGGCCUGAGAGGGUGGACGGUCACACUGGGACUGAGACACGGCCCAGACUCCUACGGGAGGCAGCAGUGGGGAAUAUUGCACAAUGGGCGCAAGCCUGAUGCAGCGACGCCGCGUGAGGGAUGGAGGCCUUCGGGUUGUAAACCUCUUUCGCCAGUGAAGCAGGCCUGUCCCUUUUGUGGGUGGGUUGACGGUAGCUGGAUAAGAAGCGCCGGCUAACUACGU
rnacentral:rRNA from 1 species